rnacentral:rRNA from 1 species
CAGUAGCCACGGUAAUACGGAGGGGGCUAGCGUUGUUCGGAAUUACUGGGCGUAAAGCGCACGUAGGCGGAUAUUUAAGUCAGGGGUGAAAUCCCGCAGCUCAACUGCGGAACUGCCUUUGAUACUGGGUAUCUUGAGUAUGGAAGAGGUUAGUGGAAUUGCGAGUGUAGAGGUGAAAUUCGUAGAUAUUCGCAGGAACACCAGUGGCGAAGGCGGCUAACUGGUCCAUAACUGACGCUGAGGUGCGAAAGCGUGGGGAGCAAACAGGAUUAGAUACCCCUGUAGUCCCUGUCUCUUAUAC